UUUUUAGGAAAUCAUGACAAGAACUCAGAAGUAAAACAUGUUCUUUAUGUAAGUGUUGGAGCAGAGUUUUUGCGAUUCUUGCCCAAAGUUUACCAUGGUUCUGUGUGUCUGAGGACGAAAGUGUUUGGAGUUAAGCAAAAACCAGCCCCGAUCUCUCCAACUGUACUUUCUGUGGCGAUUAAACGAAUUUUGGCAACAACUGUUGUGAUUCGCUUGUGGCCAGCGGAGCCAAAAAAAUGGUCCAAUAAGGAGAACUUCAAGCCUAGGAUAAGGACACCUCAAGAGAAAUAAUUCAAGAGAAGAAUAGAAAACAGGACAUUUCUGACAAGCUUAGUUUCUUAGAUGCAUAUUAAACUAUCGGUGCCCGUCGGUGUGGACAGCAUGAAGUAAAGGGCAAGUACAUCAAGAAAUCAAGACAUUCAAGGGAAGAAAGGACAGAACAAUAAUUUCUAACAAGACCGAGCGUUGAGUAUCCCUGAUAGUUGAAACGAGAAUCAAAUAAGAAAGAGUAACAAGACAGAUGUAACAAGUUUCUUCUAAAGGUCCGGCGAAUUAAAGCGGCACUCAAGCACCUGCAACCAGACGUAAGCAAACGCCAAAGUUGAAUUUUGAGAAAUACACCUAAGUAUGGACUGUUUAAAAAUUCAAAAUUUUCCCGCCAAAAAACUUAGAAAAAAUGCGGGCGCUUUUAAUACACAUG